GACGAGGGACCCUAGCGUUGUUCGGAAUCAUUGGGCGUAAAGCGGGUGUAGGUGGCUUUGUAAGUCAGAUGUGAAAGCCCGGGGCUUAACCUCGGAAGUGCAUUGAUACUGCGAAGCUUGAGUGCUGGAGAGGUUGUUAGAAUUCCUGGUGUAGUGGUGAAAUACGUAGAUAUCAGGAGGAAUACCGGAGGCGAAGGCGGACAACUGGCCAGACACUGACACUCAGACCCGA
rnacentral:rRNA from 1 species